GUAGCAGUGAGCAGAGAACUUUCGAGUAGUUGCUCGUAGUAACUAGAUAAGAAGUAGUGAUGUAAGUGCUUGCGUAUGAUAAGAGGGGCGUAGACGAAGGUGUACAAGGCUAUAUAAACUGUUGUCACGAGUUAAUAAACGCCAUUUUACCACCCACCACAUUGGUGUGCACCGAGGUAGAUGGACAGACCGAGAUGUCCCUAACGAUUGCGAACACCUUGAUGAAGCUGGAGCGGGCUUCCGGCUUCAACAGAAAGCUGCCACAA